rnacentral:rRNA from 1 species
CCUACGGGAGGCAGCAGUGAGGAAUAUUGGUCAAUGGGCGCGAGCCUGAACCAGCCAAGUCGCGUGAGGGAAGACGGUCCUAUGGAUUGUAAACCUCUUUUGUCGGGGAGCAAAAGACGCCACGCGUGGCGUUCUGAGAGUACCCGAAGAAAAAGCAUCGGCUAACUCCGUGCCAGCAGCCGCGGUAAUACGGAGGAUGCGAGCGUUAUCCGGAUUUAUUGGGUUUAAAGGGUGCGCAGGCGGAAGAUCAAGUCAGACGUGAAAACCACAGGCUCAACCUGUGGACUGCGUUUGAAACUGGGGGGCUUGAGUGAAGUAGAGGUAGGCGGAAUUCCCGGUGUAGCGGUGAAAUGCGUAGAGAUCGGGAGGAACACCAGUUGCGAAGGCGGCCUACUGGGCUUUAACUGACGCUGAGGCACGAAAGCAUGGGUAGCAAACAGGAUUAGAUACCCCUGUAGUC